rnacentral:lncRNA from 1 species
UAAUCUGAAGACUGCUGCUGGAGGGGCCCCUGAAGGAGACACCAGCUUGGUUUUCGAGCAGCGGCUCUCUAAGGUGUGGAAGAAGGAAAAGCUUCCAGUUACACCCAGAAAGUGUUAAGGCACAGCUCAGAAUCCCAAGGAAAGCUCUCAACGGAGUGUUUUAUAAAUCAAA